rnacentral:rRNA from 1 species
UGGGGAAUUUUGGACAAUAGGCGCAAGCCUGAUCCAGCCAUGCCGCGUGCGGGAAGAAGGCCUUCGGGUUGUAAACCGCUUUUGUCAGGGAAGAAAUCUUCUGAGUUAAUACCUCGGGAGGAUGACGGUACCUGAAGAAUAAGCACCGGCUAACUACGUGCCAGCAGCCGCGGUAAUACGUAGGGUGCAAGCGUUAAUCGGAAUUACUGGGCGUAAAGCGUGCGCAGGCGGUUUUGUAAGACAGAGGUGAAAUCCCCGGGCUCAACCUGGGAACUGCCUUUGUGACUGCAAGGCUUGAGUGCGGCAGAGGGGGGAUGGAAUUCCGCGUGUAGCAGUGAAAUGCGUAGAUAUGCGGAGGAACACCGACGGCGAAGGCAAUCCCCUGGGCCUGCACUGACGCUCAUGCACGAAAGCGUGGGGAGCAAACAGGAUUAGAUACCCUGGUAGUCCACGCCCUAAACGAUGUCAACUGGUUGUUGGGGAAGGUUCCUUCUCAGUAACGUAGCUAACGCGUGAAGUUGACCGCCUGGGGAGUACGGCCGCAAGGUUGAAAC